rnacentral:rRNA from 1 species
UACGAAGGGUGCAAACGUUGCUCGGAAUCAUUGGGCGUAAAGCGCACGUAGGCGGCCCAGCAAGUUGGAUGUGAAAUCCCUCGGCUCAACCGAGGACGUGCAUCCAAAACUGCUGGGCUUGAGUACUGAAGAGGAUCGCGGAAUUCCCGGUGUAGAGGUGAAAUUCGUAGAUAUCGGGAGGAACACCAGUGGCGAAGGCGGCGAUCUGGACAGAUACUGACGCUGAGGUGCGAAAGCGUGGGGAGCAAACAGG